rnacentral:rRNA from 1 species
UCGGGAAUUUUGGGCAAUGGGCGAAAGCCUGACCCAGCAACGCCGCGUGAAGGAUGAAGUAUUUCGGUAUGUAAACUUCGAAAGAAUAGGAAGAAUAAAUGACGGUACUAUUUAUAAGGUCCGGCUAACUACGUGCCAGCAGCCGCGGUAAUACGUAGGGACCAAGCGUUGUUCGGAUUUACUGGGCGUAAAGGGCGCGUAGGCGGCGUGGUAAGUCAUCUGUGAAAUCUCCGAGCUUAACUCGGAACGGUCAGAUGAUACUGCUGUGCUAGAGUACAGAAGGGGCAAUCGGAAUUCUUGGUGUAGCGGUGAAAUGCGUAGAUAUCAAGAGGAACACCUGAGGUGAAGACGGGUUGCUGGGCUGAUACUGACGCUGAGGCGCGAAAGCUAGGGUAGCAAACGGGAUUAGAUACCCGCGUAGUCCCUGAGCGGGCUGGCAAGGCGCAU